CAGCAUGGAUAGGACAGGUGCACGAUUAGGCCGGCGAGCGGCGGCGACACGCUGGCUGGCUGACUGUGCGUGAGCGUGGCGUUUCUGUUGAGUGUAAGCUGCGUGGUGUUUGCGUAGCGUUUUCCAUGUCUUUGCCUGGUCUUUGCACACCAGAAACGUGUCUGACGCGGCGCUGCUGCUAGACUCUCAAAUAUCAGAGAGAGGAGGAGAAGAGAGGAAUAGGAGCAGGAGAGAGGAGGAGGAGAAGAGCAGGAAACAGACAGCUGUACAAUCAGUAAGCAGAGACAGGGUCCAGCAGAGGCAGGGUCCAGCACAGGGGAAGCUGAGGCAGGGAGAGUUGAAAGUGAGUACACACACACACACACACACACACACAAUCUCUAUUGUAUGGGACUGCAUUGUAGUUUUUGAGUAUGAGUGGGUGUGAGUAUUUGUAACUAUUUUAUCACUCCGACUGACUGUACACAUGACAUGCUGGUAGUUCGCAGUAUACUGUGUGACUUAUGUGUUUGAGAUUAG
ensembl:lncRNA